rnacentral:lncRNA from 1 species
AAUAUAGAACAUAGAGUAAAAUAUUAAAUGUCUACCUCAUACAAAAGUAAUAAUAAUAAUAACAUAAACAAACAACAUAAAAUAAACUAUAUAAAAAUAUAAAUCCAAUAAAAUAUAAUAAAUAAAUAUAAGACUGAAUGAUUAAAUAUCCAAGUCAAACACUGUGCUACCAUGCCUAUAUAUUAAAAAAUUAAACACGUAGUAGGGUAUCCCAUUGAUGUGGGAUGAUUUCUGGUAAGUUAUCAUUGAUAACAGAUUUAUUUCUCCUGGCUUUUAGUAUCUCUAUACUUUCAGCAUACCUUAUCUCUUGGGUAUUGUCUAUGGAUCGUGGUGGAGCAAUAUCAUUCCAAAAUAUACUUGAAUUACAUUCAUACGCUUUUCUCGCUAAAGCUGUAGUGAGUUUGCCUUUACUAAUAUCUUCUUUACGUUCAUUUAUCCUACAUUUCAAGGAUCGAACCGUACUUCC